UCUCUCUCGUUAUUUCUCUUAGUCCCUCUCACAUACACUCUCACUUUCUCUCUUGACAAUAACAGAGAGGCAUAGCUUUCUCUACCCCUCAGCAACAACAAAGAGCUUGGCUGUGAUUCAUGGAAUUGUUGGGACUGGGCUUCACCCAGCCGCACACUUCAUCUAUCUCACCUUAUUGGCUCUCUCUUUCUUUUUUCGGCGAGGUACGAUGGCCGAUACUCCUAUCUUUGGGGCUCUUUAUUUCUCUCGCAGCGAGGUGCGAUUGGCGCUCUCCGAGGCUCUCUCUCGGUGAGGUGCGAUUGGUGUGGGAGUUAGGCUACCACGGCAGCGAGGUUACACUCUUUCUCUCUUUCUCUUUCCGAGGCGUUCUCUCUAUUGCUCUUUCUCUCUUUUUCUCUGUGAUGGCAGGUGUGGCAAUGGAUUUUGUUCGGUGGAGUGAGUGAAGUUACCUUAGGCGUGGGUUUGUGGUGGCGGUGGCACUGGGCUUGCUAGUCAUGCAAUUUGACGACGCAUUCGAAAUCUAUGCCUCUGGAGGUACACCAACGAGUGUGAAGAAGUCGAGCAGAAGAAAUUCUGGAGAAGCCAGUGGGGAACCUUCAAGAAAAAGGGCUCGACUAGAGGACCCUCCAACUCUUAUUCCUUCUAGAGAAACUACACCUCCCCUCCUUGCACUGGAGCUUCCACCAACCAGACGGGGGGAUCUUUGGCAGCAGAAUUGUUGAGCAAUGCUUAUAGCUCAACAAACGAUAAACUGCAAAAACUAACCAUGCACCGCCGCAGCCAGGAGGCCUUUUCCUGUCUCCCUUCGCUGAAACCCAGCUAGGUCCUUGCUCAUGGGUUCAAUGAAGUCCUUAGUGGUAUUGUGACCAUGAACAACGGUUGGCGCCGUGCUAAGGAGGUCGAUUUAAAGCAUGUCGAGGAGAUUAAGGCAUGGGAGGCUAAGGUUAAGGCAGCUGAAGGCAAAGCUGUUGUUUUAACCUAGGAGCUGAAGAAAAGCCAAGAAGAUCUGGCUAAUGUUAUUGCGGCUAAGGAAAAAUUUAAGGAAGCCUCCGAGACCAACUAUAAGGAGGCAGCCAAGCUACAAGAAGAUCUGGAGGCUAGCAUGAAGGAGGCCACUAGUCUGGAGGUCCGAGUUAAACUGCUAAAGGAGAAAAAUUCCCAAAACUUGGAGAGGUUCUGAGGAGCCACCUUCAACUGCAUUUACAUGUCCUAGAAGAAUAAUCAAGAUGCGAAUUUUGAUUACCUUCCUAAGGAGGCAAAACAGGCUGAACUUGCCAAGUGCGCUGCUUGCCUGGAAGAGGAAAGUGCCCAAGAAUCUCCUGAAAUCUCCUUGGCGAUGGGCAUAGAUGGUGCCGAAGAAGAAGUUAGCCCUUCAUUCGAUCAACAACCUCAAUAGGACCCCCCUUCAGCCGCAUAAUAAAUAUGUUUAUUUAUGUAACUAAAACACCUGAACAACUUGUUUGUGGUGUUGAGACAAUUUGCUACCUAUGGCAGUUUUAUUUAUAUUUUAGUAUUUUUAAUUACAUCCGAGCAACAAUUGCUCAUGGUGUAAAGACAUUUCAUUUUGAUAUUAUAACAGUUGCACAUUAUUAUUGCUAUUAUAA